rnacentral:rRNA from 2 species
GGGUUGUGAGGUUAAGCGACUAAGCGUACACGGUGGAUGCCCUGGCAGUCAGAGGCGAUGAAGGGCGUGCUAAUCUGCGAUAAGCGCCGGUAAGGUGAUAUGAACCGUUAUAACCGGCGAUACCCGAAUGGGGAAACCCAGUGUGACUCGUCACACUAUCAUUAACUGAAUCCAUAGGUUAAUGAGGCGAACCGGGGGAACUGAAACAUCUAAGUACCCCGAGGAAAAGAAAUCAACCGAGAUUCCCCCAGUAGCGGCGAGCGAACGGGGAGGAGCCCAGAGCCUGAAUCAGCAUGUGUGUUAGUGGAAGCGUCUGGAAAGGCGCGCGAUACAGGGUGACAGCCCCGUACACAAAAGCGCAUGUGCUGUGAGCUCGAUGAGUAGGGCGGGACACGUGGUAUCCUGUCUGAAUAUGGGGGGACCAUCCUCCAAGGCUAAAUACUCCUGACUGACCGAUAGUGAACCAGUACCGUGAGGGAAAGGCGAAAAGAACCCCGGCGAGGGGAGUGAAAAAGAACCUGAAACCGUGUACGUACAAGCAGUGGGAGCCCCACCACCAAAGCAUUCUCUGGUGUUGAAGGCCCUGCAAAGCAGCAUCGCGGUGGCGGAGCGUCGUUUGCGACGCCCAACACACAAAACAAGCGGUGAGUGCUUUGGGGUGGGGUGACUGCGUACCUUUUGUAUAAUGGGUCAGCGACUUAUAUUCUGUAGCAAGGUUAACCGAAUAGGGGAGCCGCAGGGAAACCGAGUCUUAAUUGGGCGUUAAGUUGCAGGGUAUAGACCCGAAACCCGGUGAUCUAGCCAUGGGCAGGUUGAAGGUUGGGUAACACUAACUGGAGGACCGAACCGACUAAUGUUGAAAAAUUAGCGGAUGACCUGUGGCUGGGGGUGAAAGGCCAAUCAAACCGGGAGAUAGCUGGUUCUCCCCGAAAGCUAUUUAGGUAGCGCCUCGUGAAUUCAUCUCCGGGGGUAGAGCACUGUUUCGGCUAGGGGGCCAUCCCGGCUUACCAACCCGAUGCAAACUGCGAAUACCGGAGAAUGUUAUCACGGGAGACACACGGCGGGUGCUAACGUCCGUCGUGAAGAGGGAAACAACCCAGACCGCCAGCUAAGGUCCCAAAGUCAUGGUUAAGUGGGAAACGAUGUGGGAAGGCCCAGACAGCCAGGAUGUUGGCUUAGAAGCAGCCAUCAUUUAAAGAAAGCGUAAUAGCUCACUGGUCGAGUCGGCCUGCGCGGAAGAUGUAACGGGGCUAAACCAUGCACCGAAGCUGCGGCAGCGAACGUAUCACUUAAAGCGAUUCAGCGGGUUACGAUUGACGGAGCGAAGCGACGUCAAAGCGUAUACAAAGUCGAGUCGGUUUAAGGAUACGUUCGUUGGGUAGGGGAGCGUUCUGUAAGCCUGUGAAGGUGUGUCGUGAGGCAUGCUGGAGGUAUCAGAAGUGCGAAUGCUGACAUAAGUAACGAUAAAGCGGGUGAAAAGCCCGCUCGCCGGAAGACCAAGGGUUCCUGUCCAACGUUAAUCGGGGCAGGGUGAGUCGACCCCUAAGGCGAGGCCGAAAGGCGUAGUCGAUGGGAAACGGGUUAAUAUUCCCGUACUUGGUGUUACUGCGAAGGGGGGACGGAGAAGGCUAUGUUGGCCGGGCGACGGUUGUCCCGGUUUAAGCGUGUAGGCUGGUUUUCCAGGCAAAUCCGGAAAAUCAAGGCUGAGGCGUGAUGACGAGGUACUACGGUGCUGAAGCAACAAAUGCCCUGCUUCCAGGAAAAGCCUCUAAGCAUCAGGUAACAUCAAAUCGUACCCCAAACCGACACAGGUGGUCAGGUAGAGAAUACCAAGGCGCUUGAGAGAACUCGGGUGAAGGAACUAGGCAAAAUGGUGCCGUAACUUCGGGAGAAGGCACGCUGACACGUAGGUGAAGUGAUUUACUCAUGGAGCUGAAGUCAGUCGAAGAUACCAGCUGGCUGCAACUGUUUAUUAAAAACACAGCACUGUGCAAACACGAAAGUGGACGUAUACGGUGUGACGCCUGCCCGGUGCCGGAAGGUUAAUUGAUGGGGUCAGCGCAAGCGAAGCUCCUGAUCGAAGCCCCGGUAAACGGCGGCCGUAACUAUAACGGUCCUAAGGUAGCGAAAUUCCUUGUCGGGUAAGUUCCGACCUGCACGAAUGGCGUAAUGAUGGCCAGGCUGUCUCCACCCGAGACUCAGUGAAAUUGAACUCGCUGUGAAGAUGCAGUGUACCCGCGGCAAGACGGAAAGACCCCGUGAACCUUUACUAUAGCUUGACACUGAACAUUGAGCCUUGAUGUGUAGGAUAGGUGGGAGGCUUUGAAGUGUGGACGCCAGUCUGCAUGGAGCCGACCUUGAAAUACCACCCUUUAAUGUUUGAUGUUCUAACGUGGACCCGUAAUCCGGGUUGCGGACAGUGUCUGGUGGGUAGUUUGACUGGGGCGGUCUCCUCCUAAAGAGUAACGGAGGAGCACGAAGGUUGGCUAAUCCUGGUCGGACAUCAGGAGGUUAGUGCAAUGGCAUAAGCCAGCUUGACUGCGAGCGUGACGGCGCGAGCAGGUGCGAAAGCAGGUCAUAGUGAUCCGGUGGUUCUGAAUGGAAGGGCCAUCGCUCAACGGAUAAAAGGUACUCCGGGGAUAACAGGCUGAUACCGCCCAAGAGUUCAUAUCGACGGCGGUGUUUGGCACCUCGAUGUCGGCUCAUCACAUCCUGGGGCUGAAGUAGGUCCCAAGGGUAUGGCUGUUCGCCAUUUAAAGUGGUACGCGAGCUGGGUUUAGAACGUCGUGAGACAGUUCGGUCCCUAUCUGCCGUGGGCGCUGGAGAACUGAGGGGGGCUGCUCCUAGUACGAGAGGACCGGAGUGGACGCAUCACUGGUGUUCGGGUUGUCAUGCCAAUGGCACUGCCCGGUAGCUAAAUGCGGAAGAGAUAAGUGCUGAAAGCAUCUAAGCACGAAACUUGCCCCGAGAUGAGUUCUCCCUGAGACUUUAGGUCUCCUGAAGGAACGUUGAAGACGACGACGUUGAUAGGCCGGGUGUGUAAGCGCAGCGAUGCGUUGAGCUAACCGGUACUAAUGAACCGUGAGGCUUAACCUUACAACGCCGAAG